ACUCAAAUGAAUAGACGGGGGCCCGCACAAGCAGCGGAGCAUGUGGUUUAAUUCGACGAAACGCGAAGAACCUUACCUGGGCUUGACAUGUUCGUGACCGGUGUGGAAACACACUUUCCCUUCGGGGCACGAUCACAGGUGGUGCAUGGCUGUCGUCAGCUCGUGUCGUGAGAUGUUGGGUUAAGUCCCGCAACGAGCGCAACCCUCGUCGCAUGUUGCCAGCAUUAAGUUGGGGACUCAUGCGAGACUGCCGGUGACAAACCGGAGGAAGGUGGGGAUGACGUCAAGUCAUCAUGCCCCUUAUGUCCAGGGCUACACACGUGCUACAUUGGCGCAUACAAAGGGCUGCGAUACCGCGAGGUGGAGCUAAUCCCAUAAAGUGCGCCUUGGUUCGGAUUGGAGGCUGAAACUCGCCUCCAUGAAGGUGGAGUUGCUAGUAAUCGUGGAUCAGCAACGUCACGGUGAAUACGUUCCCGGGCCUUGUACACACCGCCCGU
rnacentral:rRNA from 1 species